GAUUAUGAUGAAUUUAUAUGAGAACCUAAAGACUUUUCUACAAGUACUUGCAAAGAAUUUCAUGGAGACUGCAUGACCAGAAGUAUGUGGACGCCAGUGCCGACUUCCCACAGCAAGUAAAGAUCUCCACAUCUCGACAGUCGUCAUCAUCCUCAUCUUCAUCAAUCAGCUGGAAGGCGGUGUCUGAUCUGAAUUUUUGUCACCAAGCUGGGAUUUGAAGUCUGCAAUCUCCUCUUCGCUGAUGGUGCCGGACUCCUGGGCGUCAUCUUUUGGUUUUGUCUCAGAACUCUUUGGGUUUUGGGCCUUCUGAAGGA